GACGAACGCUGGCGGCGUGCUUAACACAUGCAAGUCGAACGGAAAGGCCCUGCUUGUGGGGUGUUCUCGAGUGGCAAACGGGUGAGUAACGCGUGAGUAACCUGCCCUUGACUGUGGUAUAACUGCGGGAAACGGGGGCUUAUACCGUAUGGGAGCUCCUGCUUCAUGGUGUGGGUUGGAAAUUUUGGUGGGGUGGGGAUCGGCCGGCGGCUUAUCAGCUUGUGGGUGGGGGAGUGGCUUACCAAGGCGUUGGAGGGUGGCCGGCCUGAGAGGGUGGCCGGCCACAGUGGGACUGAGAUACGGCCCAGGCGCCUACGGGAGGCAGGAGGGGGGAAUAUUGCACAAUGGGCGGAAGCCUGAUGCAGCGACGCCGGGGGGGGGAGGGCGGCCUUCGGGGUGUAAACUCCUUUCGCUAGGGACGAAGCUUUUUGUGACGGUACCGAGAAAAGAAGCACCGGCUAACUACGUG
rnacentral:rRNA from 1 species